GUGACAGCUGCUUCAGAAACCUUGCUGAGGACCGCAGUGGAAUAAACCUUAAAGAUCUUGUCCAUGACCCAUCCUUGCUCGGAGGCAUAAUCUCUGCAUACAAAAUAGUCCCUGAUGAGAUUGACGAGAUCAAGGAGACGCUGGUGGACUGGUGCGAUGAGAAGGAGCUCAA